rnacentral:rRNA from 1 species
CUACGGGGCGCUGCAGUGGGGAAUAUUGCACAAUGGGCGCAAGCCUGAUGCAGCCAUGCCGCGUGUAUGAAGAAGGCCUUCGGGUUGUAAAGUACUUUCAGCGGGGAGGAAGGGAGUAAAGUUAAUACCUUUGCUCAUUGACGUUACCCGCAGAAGAAGCACCGGCUAACUCCGUGCCAGCAGCCGCGGUAAUACGGAGGGUGCAAGCGUUAAUCGGAAUUACUGGGCGUAGAGCGCACGCAGGCGGUUUGUUAAGUCAGAUGUGAAAUCCCCGGGCUCAACCUGGGAACUGCAUCUGGAUACUGGCAAGCUUGAGUCUCGUAGAGGGGGGUAGAAUUCCAGGUGUAGCGGUGAAAUGCGUAGAGAUCUGGAGGAAUACCGGUGGCGAAGGCGGCCCCCUGGACGAAGACUGACGCUCAGGUGCGAAAGCGUGGGGAGCAAACAGGAUUAGAUACCCCGGUAGUC